AGAGAGAGACAUGCGCGCAUAUCAAAUAAGCGGAGGAAAAGAAACUAACUAAGGAUUCCCUCAGUAACGGCGAGUGAAGCGGGAAGAGCUCAAAUUUGAAAUCUUCAAGGUUCUACCUUGACGAAUUGUAGUUUAAAGAAGUGUUUUCUGUUGGAGUUUUGGUAAAAGUUCUUUGGAAUAGGACAUCAUAGAGGGUGAGAAUCCCGUAUUUGACCAUUAUUUCCAGCUUUGUGAUACACUUUCAAAGAGUCGGAUUGUUUGGGAAUGCAGUCCAAAAUGGGUGGUAAAUUUCAUCUAAAGCUAAAUACUGGCGAGAGACCGAUAGCGAACAAGUACCGUGAGGGAAAGAUGAAAAGAACUUUGAAAAGAGAGUUAAACAGUACGUGAAAUUGUCAAAAGGGAAGCGUUUGACACCAGUGUUGUUUUCUCGAAAAUCAAUUAAAAAGAGUCAGGAUUUUGUGUUGUAUUGACCUUAAUCAGCUUCUGCACUUCAAUUUUCUUGUCUUUUUUAAUGCACUUUUCGUUUAACAAGUCAACAUCAAUUUCUUUUGUUGUAAAAGGGUCAUUGGAAGGUGGCUUUCUUUUCGGAGAAAGUGUUUAUAGCCUUUGGCCUCUGCAAUCGGAGAGAUUGAGGUCUGCAGCGUAGAUCCUUCGGGGUUAAAUAGCAUUUGUGCUAAGUUAUAGCCUUUCAUAGACAACUUGUUGACUAUGAUCAGUCAUGUAGCUUACUCGCUUAUGCUAUUUUACCUACGCUUAGGAUGUUGAUGUGAUACUGCGAGC
rnacentral:rRNA from 1 species